UGACCCCCGGCCUCCUGUUCCGGGAACGAAACCGCCACCGCCACCCAUGUCGAGGCUGGGCCUCAACAUCGACCUAGACGACGUCGCCAGGCGCCUCAGCUUCUCCCCGGACCCCGACCGCCCGCCGCAGAUGCCGCCGCGCCAGGUUGGGAGGUUCCGGGUGCAGCCGGCGCUCUCGCCGAUCGCCGAGGAGCAAGAGGCGGCGGCGACGGCGACGCACACCCCCGCGCGUCCUCCGCCAUGGGUCUCCUCACCGUCGCCGGCGCCGCCCUCCGCGCCUCACACGGGGACCUACGAGAGUCCUGCGAUGUCCCUACCCCCCGUGUCGCCGUCGCCAUCGCCAUUCCGCACGCAGGUCCCGGCUCCUCCCACGCCGCAGCAGGUUGCGGCGGCGCUGGGGAAAUUGGAGCAGGCACGCCAAGCCGGGCUGCAGCAGGCGUGGGUGGCGGCGCAGCAGCAGCAGGCGCUCGCGUUCGCGCUCGGGGGAUGGGAGCAGCGACGUCAGGCCGGGCUGCAGCAGUCAUGGGCGCACCCGCAGCCGCAGCAGGCGGCCGCGGCCGCAUUGGAGCAGGGACGUACGUCGGGGCCGCAGCAGGCGUGGGCGCAAGCGCAGCAGCAUCCGGAGCCCCAGCAGCAGCUGAGGCUGUACACGGUGGAAGGGGAACCCGCGGGGUACAAGACCAAGUGGGAGGAGCUCCAUCCCUUCUCCCAGCACCUCCUGCUACAGAUCGAGGACAAGAUAAGGGAGGAGAGGCAUGCGUGUGAGCAGUUGGAGCAAUGCAGCCGCCUCUGCGACCCGUCAGUCUCCAGUAGCAGUUUUGAACUGGAUGCUCGUCAGAUUACACAGGAGAUUGGGUCAAUCUCCACCAUCAUGAACAGGGAGAAGGCUUCCAUUCAGAGAUUAAUGGAUGCUGUCAAAGAAAGUAUGUCCACUGCAGAAUUUGCUAUAGGUUCAUAUGUGAACUUGAGACCGUGGUUUGUCAGCAGAGGUGCUGGAAUUGCAAAUACCAGUUCUGCAAACCAUGGUGGAUCUUCAGCCGCUCGUACUCAUGGUUCUGUAAGGCGGCCCUCUACCUUUAUGCAGCGCAUUGUUGACAGAUUUGAGAAGCAACUUGAAGAGUGUUGCAAAUUGAUUGGAGAGCUAGAGCAGCUUGUUCAGAUGAAGAAUACUAAAACAUAUCCACCUUCUUUGGAAUCUCUGCCAAAAGUUAUGUCGAACAUGCAUGACUAUUUUAUCUAUGUUGCUUCUAAGGUGGAAAAUCUUCAUCAAUAUGCUGAUGCAAUAAGGAUUCAAUAUCUUAAUGAUAUGCGGAACAGUGGUAAUCGGAAUGAUCCAUUUGUGGAAGCGGAUAGAAAAGAGGCAGCGAAACAAGAAGCCGCUUCAAGAACAGUCCAUCCAACAUUGGCUGUAAGUAAACCUUCAAUUUGUAUAGCAGUUCUCAGUGUUCUCACAAGUAACACUUGAUGUAGUCAGGCCCACCCGUCUCCACACAGAAUGGUGAUGCCCCGAAGCAGGCGUCAGAUGUGCAACUGAAUCAGCUUCGCAUCAGUCCUUUUUCUUUUUGGAGAUUCGAUCGUCAUGCUCGUCGGUGGCACUUCACGUGCGUAAUCAGUGACAUGGACCGCGACUGGGGAAGCUGCGAAGAAGCGACGCCCGGCAACAACCACUUGGGACGGGUCAACUUUUUGCUUGGUUUGCUUGGUUUUUAGGAGUAGGAAAUGGUUGGUCAUAGUGGUGCUUCAGGUCGUUGUCUCCAAUGAGCACACGAUUCAGUCAGGUCACACAGCUAGCUUCCCGGGUAAUGCGACAGAAGGCAGCCCAGUUUGCUACGACCAUUCCCAUGACGGGAUUCUCUGAAUUUUGGCGUAUAUUCUUCCUCUCCCUCUCUAGUUUAGAGUGCGAUAUACCGUACUAGGUUGCUCAGGUUUGGGAUCAUGUACAGGUCUUUGUGUGAAGAUGGUUCAUAUAUACUAGCUGUGAUUACUGGUCAGGUAGAAAAAUGCAUAGGAACUGUACAGAAGUUGGAAGGGAGCAAACUCCCACCAAAAAUAUGGAAGUGGUCAAGUGGAUAGAUAUACAAUCGACCUCAUAUCUGUU